AUUAGGAAAAAAAAAUAUGCAUCAAGUGUUUGGGCUUCUAAUAGAUUUUAAUCAUCAAACACUGGCUCGAAGGGCAUCAAUCGCCGGUACAACUCUAUUUAAUAGCGUCGGGCACAGGGAGGGAGAUAAAGAACGAUUUACGAACAAGAUUGAGUCAGGCCGAGUCGAGUUGCAGAGUUACUCUGACGAGUCGUCGCUCGGGUGGGAGACCAAGUCGAAGACAAGUUAGACCUCGUUUGGGUCGGCAGCAAAGACAAAGCAUGGCGAGGUCGAGAGGAAGAAAGGAACUCCAUGGAGAGAAGAAUAACACAGGAUCCAAAUAACAAGAACGUGGUCAAUUGUGAUAAAAACUUGAGGAGUAUUUUGUUGGGUAAACCUCAAGUUGAGCUUGCUGAACUUCCUACACUAAUCAAGCUGCAUUUCCCAAAAGAGGCAAAAUGAUUUUAACUAUUUGAAUUAAGGUGCUUAUCUUCUUUAAAUUCUCCUUAUAAACAUUACCAAACACUCUUGCUGCUUCACGUUGUGAUAAAUUAAUUGGGGAGAUAUUUUUAUGUUCCA